AUGAGGAUUAACAAGGCUCAAGGGCAGACCAUCCCGAUUGUUGGCGUGUAUCUACCUAAUCCAGUGUUCUCUCAUGGUCAACUCUAUGUUGCGUUGUCUCGAGCCACCGCGAAGAGAAACAUAAAGGUCCUCGUUGAGAAGGAGAAGGAGAAGGAGAAGUAG
rnacentral:rRNA from 1 species